UCGUCCGCCCUGGGUUAGUCGGGACCUAAGCUGAGGCCGAAAGGCGUAGGUGAUGGACAACAGGUUGAUAUUCCUGUACUACCGAUAACCGUUUGAGAGAAGGGAUGACACAGUAGGAUAAGCUAAGCACACUGUUGGUUAUGUGUGCCCAAGCAUUGAGGCAGUCAAAGUAGGCAAAUCCGCUUUGAUAAUGCUGGGAUGUGAUGGGGAGCGAAAUUUAGUAGCGAAGUAGCUGAUUUCACACUGUCAAGAAAAGUCUCUAUCGAGGUUAAAGGUACCCGUACCGCAAACCGACACAGGUGGGUGAGGAGAGUAUCCUAAGGCCAGCGAGAGAACUGUUGUUAAGGAACUCGGCAAAAUGACCCCGUAACUUAGGGAUAAGGGGUGCCACCAUCAGGUGGCCGCAGAGAAUAGGCCCAAGCGACUGUUUACCAAAAACAUAGGUUUCUGCUAAGUCGCAAGACGAUGUAUAGGAGCUGACGCCUGCCCGGUGCUGGAAGG
rnacentral:rRNA from 1 species